GGGUUGUGAGGUUAAGCGACUAAGCGUACACGGUGGAUGCCCUGGCAGUCAGAGGCGAUGAAGGGCGUGCUAAUCUGCGAUAAGCGCCGGUAAGGUGAUAUGAACCGUUAUAACCGGCGAUACCCGAAUGGGGAAACCCAGUGUGACUCGUCACACUAUCAUUAACUGAAUCCAUAGGUUAAUGAGGCGAACCGGGGGAACUGAAACAUCUAAGUACCCCGAGGAAAAGAAAUCAACCGAGAUUCCCCCAGUAGCGGCGAGCGAACGGGGAGGAGCCCAGAGCCUGAAUCAGCAUGUGUGUUAGUGGAAGCGUCUGGAAAGGCGCGCGAUACAGGGUGACAGCCCCGUACACAAAAGCGCAUGUGCUGUGAGCUCGAUGAGUAGGGCGGGACACGUGGUAUCCUGUCUGAAUAUGGGGGGACCAUCCUCCAAGGCUAAAUACUCCUGACUGACCGAUAGUGAACCAGUACCGUGAGGGAAAGGCGAAAAGAACCCCGGCGAGGGGAGUGAAAAAGAACCUGAAACCGUGUACGUACAAGCAGUGGGAGCCCCACCACUAAGCCAGUGGUGAACUCCACAUACGCAUCCUUUGCUGAGGAUACGGUUA
rnacentral:rRNA from 1 species